rnacentral:rRNA from 1 species
AUGGACGAGGAGGAGGAGAUUGAAGGGGCGCCGGCCUUCUUCCACCGCCACCCUCUCCUCUUCUACUUCCUCCUCUUCCUCGCCUUCACCUACGCCUUGGUCUACCCCGUCUUCGCCUUCAUCCUCGCCGCCGUCCCGGUCUUCGUCCUCACCGCCCUCCUCCUCGGCAUCGUCCUCCUCCACAGCGUGCCCCAGGAUCAUGACCCGCAUGUCUACAAGAAGAUCACCCACCGCCCACCACAAUGCCAACCAAGUACAGCCCCCAUCGGAGGGAGCACCAGCAGCAGACAUCACCACCAGCCCUCCUACGAAUCCAGCGACGACUCCUCCUCAUCCGCACACGAAAAUGACAACCGCCCACCCAGGGCCAUGUCCACCGCCUCCUCACACGCCUCCUUCCCCGACCCCGACGACACCGCCGCCAACACCGAAUCUGAAUCAACCGACUCUGACCAUGAAGAAAAGCAGCACAACCACCACCGCUCCCACAAAAAGGACGCGGUGCGGGCGGUCGCGUGGACGGCCGAUGACGCCAAGAGCAUCGAGAACAUCGGCUCGCUCGAGCUCGAGAUGAACGCCACCGUCGAGAAGCUCAUGUCCAGGCGCCGCGCCCGCGGCCACCAGCGACCCCUCCACCAACACCACCACCAACACCAUCACGUCAUGGACCUCGCCGACGACCCGUCCAAGCUCAGCAUCGCCACUCGGAAGAGGAACCCCUUCGACCUCGACGGGCCCUACGACGAGGACGACAACUUCCCCGACUCCGCACCCUCCAUGCUCGGCCUACGCCCCUCGCGCAACCCCUUCUUCGAUGAUAUUGACGACGAUCUCCAUCUCCAAGCACCACCGCAGCCGUCGUCCAUCCCGGGGGCGGCCCAGAAGAACGCCAUGCUGUUCCGACGGCACGAGAGCUUCACCGUGGGUGCGCCGCACGUCAGCGACUUCCGGCCAUCCCGCUUCAGGCCCUACUUCGUCACGGAGAAGAUGCAGGGCCAGCCGGUCACGGUUCCCGAGGCCAGCCGCAAGAGCAGCUCCUCGUCCACGUCUUCCUCCUCUGCGGGUGCCACUGCCUAUGCUUACGCCUAUGCCUACGCCUCCGCCAACAAAGAAGAAGAGGCAGCAGCAGAACAAGUAGAAGCAGAAGCAGAAGCAGCAACAAUGUCGGAGGAGGUGAAGAGUACCGUAGAGUACAGCAGCAGGUCUCAUGAGGUGGCGGCGGUGGACGUGGAGCUCAUCAGCGACUCUUCCGACGAUGACAUGACACUGCCUGGUGGGGGCCAUGCCCAUAAAGAGCAUCAAGUACCGGUACAGCAGCAGCAGCAGGCGGCUGAGCAAGAGCAGCAAAUGAAGAUGGAGCAGGAGCAGCAAAUGAAGCUGCAGCAGGAGCAGCAGAUGAAGCUGCAGCAGGAGCAGCAGAUGAAGGAGCAGCGAAUGAAGCAGCAGUUGGCUGAGCAGGAGCAGCAAAUGAAGCAGGCGGCUGAGCAAGAGCGGCAAAUGAAAAUGCAGCAGCAGCAGCAGUUGGCGUUAUCAGACGAUGACGAGGGGGAUUCGUUUGAGGUGGAGAGCAUCACGAAACAAGUAGCAGCGGCGGCGGCGGGCAAAACCAAGCAGCUUGAGACAGAUCCUGCAUACGACUACAGCCCGUCAAAGACGGAGAAGGCAGCAUUUGCCCAGUUACCUCCUCCGGCGCCGCCAAAUAAGCUGCAGACGAUGCGGAGAGUGUUCUCAGAAGAAGACGCGGACGAGCCAUGGGCAGCGCCGAGCGGACUGGAGGAGACAGCUGAGGAUGAGGGCAGGGAGCAAGACAUGUUAUCUGCUCCUGCUGCUGGUGCUGCCCCUCCUCUUUCUGCGGCCGCCAAGAAAGCUAUCGGCAAGUCCACCAAGGCGUACAAGCCGCCAACCAAGAAGGCAGUCUUAGGCUUCUUCCGCAAGUGA